GAUGAACGCUGGCGGCGUGCCUAAUACAUGCAAGUCGAGCGAACGGACGAGAAGCUUGCUUUUCUGAUGUUAGCGGCGGACGGGUGAGUAACACGUGGAUAACCUACCUAUAAGACUGGGAUAACUUCGGGAAACGGAACCAAUACCGGGUAAUUAUUUUAACCGCCAUGUUCAAAAGUGAAAAAAGGUCUUUCUGUUACCUAUUGAAUGAACCGCGCUGCAUUAGCUAGUUGGUAAGGUAACGGCUCACCAGGGCAACGAUGCAUAGCCGACCUGAGAGGGUGAUCGGCCACACUGGAACUGAGACACGGUCCAGACUCCUACGGGAGGCAGCAGUAGGGAAUCUUCCGCAAUGGGCGAAAGCCUGACGGAGCAACGCCGCGUGAGUGAUGAAGGUCUUCGGAUCGUAAAACUCUGUUAUUAGGGAAGAACAUAUGUGUAAGUAACUGUGCACAUCUUGACGGUACCUAAUCAGAAAGCCACGGCUAACUACGUG
rnacentral:rRNA from 1 species